AUGUAUUAUUUAUUUCUUUAUUUUGUGUGAAAAUUUGUUGGCAGAUGUGGGAUGUACCCUGACAUAGAGAACACCACCACUACAACCAUCCUGGCUGGCGUUGCACCACCAGUGAACAUGUACUCUGAGGGAUCGGAGAAGAGCUUUGGAGCAGAAGGAGGGCAUGGUUGCAAGUGUGGAUCAAACUGCAAGUGUGACCCUUGUACCUGUUAAAAUGAACAAAUAUGGAUUUCAAGCAAAGCAGCGAUAUAGCUUGACAUGAAUGAAAAAUAAGGAAUGUCUGUGCUUUUGUGUUUGUAUGUUGGAAAGUGUCUUGGGGUUAUAUAAAGCAAAAUAAGAUAGCCAUGGACUUUUGAAUAGUCCAACUGUUUGGAUUGUGUAGAUGUCUUUUGUGGCUACUUGUGAAGCAUUUGUGUCUGCUUUGUGGGUUAUGGAGUUUGAUGUAUGUCUAUGAAAGGGUGGAAACAAACAUGAUAUGAAUAUACCUCCUUCAAUUGUUGUGUCGUCUA